rnacentral:rRNA from 1 species
CACGUAGGCACCAAGCGUUUGUCCGGAUUUAUUGGGCGUAAAGAGCUCGUAGGCGGUUCAGUAAGUCGGGUGUGAAAACUCUGGGCUCAACCCAGAGACGCCACCCGAUACUGCUGUGACUUGAGUACGGUAGGGGAGUGGGGAAUUCCUGGUGUAGCGGUGAAAUGCGCAGAUAUCAGGAGGAACACCAAUGGCGAAGGCAGCUCGCUGGGACGUGACUGACGCUGAGACGCGAAAGCGUGGGGAGCGAACAGG